rnacentral:rRNA from 1 species
UGCCAGCCGCCGCGGUAAUACGGAGGGUGCAAGCGUUAUUCGGAAUCACUGGGCUUAAAGGGUGCGUAGGCGGCUUUACAAGUUGGGUGUGAAAUCCCUCGGCUCAACCGAGGAACUGCGCCCAAAACUGUAUUGCUUGAGGGAGGUAGAGGUGAGCGGAACUUAAGGUGGAGCGGUGAAAUGCGUUGAUAUCUUAAGGAACACCGGUGGCGAAGGCGGCUCACUGGACCUCUCCUGACGCUGAGGCACGAAAGCUAGGGUAGCGAACGGGAUUAGAUA